AAAGCGUGCGCAGGCGGUUUUGUAAGUUUGUCGUGAAAUCCCCGGGCUCAACCUGGGAAUGGCGAUGAAGACUGCAAGGCUAGAAUCUGGCAGAGGGGGGUAGAAUUCCACGUGUAGCAGUGAAAUGCGUAGAGAUGUGGAGGAACACCGAUGGCGAAGGCAGCCCCCUGGGUCAAGAUUGACGCUCAUGCACGAAAGCGUGGGGAGCAAACAGGAUUAGAUACCCGAGU
rnacentral:rRNA from 1 species